GACGAACGCUGGCGGCGUGCUUAACACAUGCAAGUCGAACGGUGAAGCGCCUUCCUUUUUGGUGGGUGUGGAUGAGUGGCGAACGGGUGAGUAACACGUGAGUAACCUGCCCCCUUCUUCUGGAUAACCGCAUGAAAGUGUGGCUAAUACGGGAUAUUCUGGGUCUGUCGCAUGAUGGGUCUGGGAAAGAUAUUGUUUCGGUGGGGGAUGGGCUCGCGGCCUAUCAGCUUGUUGGUGGGGUGAUGGCCUACCAAGGCGGUGACGGGUAGCCGGCCUGGGAGGGUGGACGGCCAGACUGGGACUGAGACACGGCCCAGACUCCUACGGGAGGCAGAAGUGGGGAAUAUUGCACAAUGGGCGCAAGCCUGAUGCAGCGACGCCGCGUGAGGGAUGGAGGCCUUCGGGUUGUGAACCUCUUUCGCUAGUGAAGCAGGCCUGCCUCGUUUGUGGGUGGGUUGACGGUAGCUGGAUAAGAAGCGCCGGCUAACUACGUG
rnacentral:rRNA from 1 species